ACAGCAGUAGCCGCGGUAAUACGUAGGUGGCAAGCGUUGUCCGGAAUUAUUGGGCGUAAAGGGCUCGCAGGCGGUUUCUUAAGUCUGAUGUGAAAGCCCCCGGCUCAACCGGGGAGGGUCAUUGGAAACUGGGAAACUUGAGUGCAGAAGAGGAGAGUGGAAUUCCACGUGUAGCGGUGAAAUGCGUAGAGAUGUGGAGGAACACCAGUGGUGAAGGCGACUCUCUGGUCUGUAACUGACGCUGAGGAGCGAAAGCGUGGGGAGCGAACAGGAUUAGAUACCCCUGUAGUCCCUGUCUCUUAUAC
rnacentral:rRNA from 1 species